UCUUUGCUGAGAUGGAGUCACCAAGUUUGAUUCUUCUAAGCUGUUUCCUGAUACAAUGCUACGGGUCCACUCACUUUCAUUACCUAAAGAAAGGGGAGGAGUUAACACUGUCCUGUGAAACAUGUCAAUGGCAGGCUGAUGUGAAUUCAGACAACAGAGUGGACUGCAGCUUCAUAGACAGUAAUUAUGCAAAUAACUCAAAAUGCACUGCAUGAAAACAGGACCUAUGCCAAAAGAUAAAGAAGAACAAACCCACCGGUUGUGAAAUCUGUGUAAUGAGGGGAUUCUUUGCCUGUGUUAAUGCUACAUCUGACUCCUGCUUCAUGCAUCCAUUCAAACCCUCUUCUCACCAUGUGGAGUCCUUCAUUGUUGCUCAGGCAGAACCAGACAUUGUGUCUAAACCUGUAAUGGAAAACUCAGUGCUUGUGUCUGGAAGAGAAUCAAUUAAUCUGGCGUGCGCUUUUAAAACAAAGGGGAAUUAUUCCAAUAAUCCUUUCGUGGUGUACUGGAUCAAGACUGGAGCUCAGAGCAGCACAUGUGUGUAUUCCUUUGAUUACGAUGGAUAUGAUAGUGGUGCUGAUCACCACUGUGCCAUCGACAAAGAUCUUCUGUUAAGGAGAUCAAACACAUCAAAACUCUCCCUUGAUGACAACAUCCAUAACCUAAAGAUCAGCAAUGCCACUCAGUCAGACCGUGGACAGUAUCUGUGUGUCUUAAUGGUGAACACAAAUAGUCAGCAGUACUGGGCAGUAAUAACCAACACUACAGUCAUUAUGGAUAAUCCUGACAAAUCAAAUACCACCGUAAAUACCACUGCUGGUAAGUUCAGUUUGACAUUUAAAAUGGAAUAAUAAUAGUGAGCCCAAGUAAAUGCACUGCAAUGCAAGACAAAUUAUGUCUCUAGAAAAUUAUCUUUUUUUUUUAGGAACCCCCCGCAUAUGAUAGUACUGAUUCCCAUCUCAUCUAUGUGAUUGGUGUAUUAGUACCCGUUCUUCUCCUCCUCCCUGUCAUCAUCAUCAUCAUCAUACUGCUUAAAAGGAAACCAGCUGAGACCACAGUAUCUCAAACUGCAAUAACUCAAAGAUUUCAGAACGGGGAGGAAGUGGAUGACGACGACUGUUCCCCUUAUGCGAUGGGCCAGGGAGAGCAGGAACCAACGUACUCACUCAUUCAGCUGACCAAUCAGAAGACUGACCCUGUGUUCAGUGGGGAUGGAGAACUCGCUUCAGAUCCAUCAGCAGAUGAGGGCAUCAUGAGGAAGAACUCCAUAUAUGAAACCUCAGGUCCAUAGUCUCAACUGCCUGCCAGUUUCUUGUGUGAGUUCCUGCAUAAAGACCAAGAUUACAUGACCGGCCUGUUUAUAACCCGUAAAUAACCGCAUUAGUCCUGUUUCAGUUAAAAUGAGGAAGGAACUCUCGCUGUCACAACUUCCUGACUGAAACCUAAAAUUUCCCCAGAUUGCUUUGUUUGUGGGCUUAUCCCACAGCUGUCAUUUCAGUUAUAGAAUAUAUAAAUAUGACUAUUGUUGUGAUUUGUUGGAUAGUCAUUUCUAAUACAUUGAGCCAAUAUGCUUGAGGUUGUUCAAAUGUGUUUGCAUGUGUGGUUUGUGAAUAAGCCAAACUGAUAAAUGAACUAAUUAAACUGUAAAUUAAAAAAGUCAGUCUUGAAGGAAA